UCUUUAAGAAUUUUUUUAUAAAUUCAGGAAUGUUUUUAAAAAAGAUAUAAGAGAGUGUUUCUCCUUUGAGGAUGUGCUUUUGUGCGAGAGAAUGUAAUUCUCUGUGAGAGUGUAGCUAUCUUGAAAAGGUGCCGGGGAAGGUUUUCCGGUUUGUCCCGGAGGGCUUGUAGCUCAGUUGGUUAGAGCGCGCGCUUGAUAAGCGUGAGGUCGGAGGUUCAAGUCCUCCCAGGCCCACCAAUUUUGAUUUGUUUAACCUGCUGUUGGUAGUUCUCUCCUGUAUGAGAAAAAGAUUUAAGGAGUGGAAACAAAUUUUGGAAGCUCAGAAUAAUUGGCAGGAUUAAAGAGUUUUUGUGAAAUGCUCAUAGUAUAUGUUAUGAACAUGUUAACGAAAUCAUGGAGCUAUCAAGAAGCUUUAUAAGUGUUGAUUUGAGAGUUAGCGCUUUCUUUUAGGGGCCGUAGCUCAGCUGGGAGAGCACCUGCUUUGCAAGCAG
rnacentral:misc_RNA from 1 species